GAUGAAGAACGCAGUGAAAUGCGAUAAGUAAUGCGAAUUGCAGAAUUCAGUGAGUCAUCGAAUCUUUGAACGCACAUUGCGCCCUGUGGUAUUCCGCAGGGCAUGCCUGUUCGAGCGUCAUUUCAACCCUCAAGCCCCGCUUGGUGUUGGGCCCCGCCCGCCGUGGCCGGCCCUAAAGACAGUGGCGGCGCCGCCUGGCCCUCAGCGUAGUACAGCUCUCGCUCCAGGGUCCGGCGGCCGCCUGCCAGAACCCCCCCAACUCUGUGGUUGACCUCGGAUCAGGUAGGGAUACCCGCUGAACUUAAGCAUAUCAAUAAGCGGAGGA
rnacentral:misc_RNA from 1 species